rnacentral:rRNA from 1 species
AUGGCGACGUUGCAGCUGAACCACAUCGCGUGGGAGACCGGUGACAUGCGAGGCCUGGUCGCCUUCUACGAGGAGGUGUUGGGCUUCGAGCGCGUCCCAGCGCCCGCCUACUCCGGCUUCCAGGUCGCCUGGCUCCGCCUCCCAGGCUCCCCCGACGUCAUGCUCCACAUCAUCAAGUGCGACCCAGGCGUUGCCGCCCUGGGGGCCGCGCAGGGGGUCGCCGCGCCCGCACAGCUGCCCUGGCGGCACCACCUCGCCUUCUCCGUGGCCGACUUCGACGGGUUCCUCAGCGUGCUCAGGACCCGCGACACCUAGCUGUUCGAGAAGUCCCAGCCCGAUGGCUGCACGUGCCAGGUCUUCUUCUUCGAUCCCGACGGUGAGUGA